GCCCACUUGUCGGAAUUGGUAGACGACCGAGACUUAAAAUCUUGUGCCUAUGGCGUACCGGUUCGAGUCCGGUAGUGGGUACCA
rnacentral:tRNA from 3 species